rnacentral:rRNA from 1 species
GAUGAACGCUGGCGGCGUGCUUAACACAUGCAAGUCGAACGGAAAGGCUCCUGCUUGCAGGGGUACUCGAGUGGCGAACGGGUGAGUAACACGUGGGUGAUCUGCCCUGCACUUCGGGAUAAGCCUGGGAAACUGGGCCUAAUACCGGAUAGGACGAUGGUUUGGAUGCCAUUGUGGAAAGUUUUUCGGUGUGGGAUGAGCUCGCGGCCUAUCAGCUUGUUGGUGGGGUAAUGGCCUACCAAGGCGUCGACGGGUAGCCGGCCUGAGAGGGUGGACGGCCACAUUGGGACUGAGAUACGGCCCAGACUCCUACGGGAGGCAGCAGUGGGGAAUAUUGCACAAUGGGCGCAAGCCUGAUGCAGCGACGCCGCGUGGGGGAUGACGGCCUUCGGGUUGUAAACUCCUUUCGCUAGGGACGAAGCGCAAGUGACGGUACCUAGAGAAGAAGCACCGGCUAACUACGUG